rnacentral:rRNA from 1 species
GACGAACGCUGGCGGCGUGCUUAACACAUGCAAGUCGAACGGGCCCGCUCUCUUUUUUGGGGGUGGGUUGAGUGGCGAACGGGUGAGUAUCACGUGAGUAACCUGCCCCCUGCUCCUGGAUAACUGCUUGAAAGGGCGGCUAAUACGGGGUGUGCCGGCUGGUCCGCAUGGGCCUGGUCGGGAUAGUUUCAUCUUCGGGUGUUUCGGUGGGGGAUGGGCUCGCGGCCUAUCAGCUUGUUGGUGGGGUGAUGGCCCACCAAGGCGGUGACGGGUAGCCGGCCUGAGAGGGUGGGCGGCCGCACUGGGACGGAGACACGGCCCAGACUCCGGCGGGAGGCAGCAGUGGGGGGUAUUGCACAAUGGGCGGAAGCAUGAUGCAGCGAAGUCGCGUGAGGGAUGGAGGCCUUCGGGUUGGGAACCUCUUUCUCCGGUGGUGAAGGCCCUGUCCGUUGCGGCGGGGUUGACGGUAGCCGGGUAUGAAGCGCCGGCUAACUACGUG